UGUUCCAGAACUGUGAAGGCUUUUUUAGAUUCACUGAGUGUAAGCUGGCACCACUGCCAAUAUCAAGACACACAAAUAAUGUACCUGAAAAGGAUGUGCAAACCAUCAAAGGAAAGGGGGUUGAAUGGUUUGCACCUUUAUUUUGCAUUAUUAUAAAAAUAAUAAGGUGGCUACACUUUUUAAAGGGGUUGUUCAGGAUUUUACUAUGGAUUGCUUAUUAUAAGGAUAGGCCAUCAAUAUCUGAUCGGAGUCCUUCACCCCACAGCCCCUCCAACUAGCUGAUCUGUAGUAGGUCAGGCAUCGGAACAGCACAGCCCCACCUGUUGUGUAGUGGAUGAAACUAGUUUCUGGAGCACUG